rnacentral:rRNA from 1 species
GAUGAACGCUAGCGGCAGGCUUAACACAUGCAAGUCGAGGGGCAGCAUGAGACGGAGAUUCGUCGAAGUCUUGAUGGCGACCGGCGCAAGGGUGCGUAACGCGUGAGCAACUUGCCCGUUUCUGGGGAAUAACCGGUGGAAACGCCGACUAAUACCCCAUAGCAUUGACUUUGGGCAUCCUUAGUCAAUUAAAGAAUUUCGGAAACGGAUAGGCUCGCGUGACAUUAGCUUGAUGGCGGGGUAACGGCCCACCAUGGCUACGAUGUCUAGGGGUUCUGAGAGGAAGGUCCCCCACACUGGAACUGAGACACGGUCCAGACUCCUACGGGAGGCAGCAGUGAGGAAUAUUGGUCAAUGGACGAGAGUCUGAACCAGCCAAGUAGCGUGAAGGAUGACUGCCCUAUGGGUUGUAAACUUCUUUUGUUUGGGAAUAAAGUUAGGUACGUGUACCUAUUUGUAUGUACCAUUCGAAUAAGCAUCGGCUAAUUCCGUGCCAGCAGCCGCAGUAACAC